UUCCACCUCCAGCUGUGGGGCUCAUCCCAGAGACUAGGACAGAGCAGAGGAGGGCUUCAUAAUGAUGGGUCCCCAGGCCUGGGGCCUUGAGUGAGGCUGGGACCAAGGCAGCCUGUGGCACCGCCCCCCUCAUCCAGUUCCUGGGCAGCCACCAUUGCGCUUGUCCGUGUGUCCCGGUAGGAACACUUGGCAAGGAAGUGUUGGAAGGAGACUCACUACAAGGCAGGCUCACCGGCUGUGUGAUAUGGCCAGAUGAAGGAAGGAAAGCGCGUCUGCCUGGAGUGUGGAAUGAACCUACAGGGUGAUCAUUACCCUUAUCAGUGCUGCCGUCACCGUUGCCGCAUGUGAGACACCCCCUCCUCCCCAAGGCCAGUGAUUGCGCCAGAGUUCCUGCGCGCUGGCAAGCAGGUGCUCCGAGCUUCCCCGCGUCACCCGCAGCCAGGGCGCCCCCCGCGACGCCGCCAUUCAUUCCUCCUACACUGCGAGAGCAGCGCUGGCCUCCAGAGCCGGAGGAGCCGCUGGGCGCGGCGGGAGCUUCGAAUCCACAUUUCUGCCCCAGCCGCCGGGCUAGGGUUGGUGGGAGGCGGGGUGGGGGUGUCUGCCCUGGUGUGUGCCGCGUCGGCCCAGUUACUAUAGAUCCCUUCUAGGAGAGACUGAAACACCCAGGUUCAGGAGACAGAGACACUGUGGCACAUGGAUACAGGAGCCAGGAACGGAGACAGA